CACGGGAGAUCACAGACACAGAACUGUGAGGAUGGGCACCUGUCCCCGUUUCAGUGUGCACAGAACAUUGCUUUUGCAUGCAGAAUGGGAGAUAGCAUGCUUUGCUGCUGCCUGUGUGCAAAAGAAGCAAAUAGGUGUUCUUCCCCACUGCACCUGGAUAAAAUGUUGGAUAAAAGGUUGUCGGCAUAGCAGAGAUGCACAAAAGGACGUGGGGAAUUUUUUCCCUAGGAUCUGCGAAAAGUGAAGGAUUCAUUUUCCCUUUUGUCCCCUGAGAUGAGAGGCUGGGAAGUUGGCAUCUGUCACUCCAAGCUUUUUUUUCCUCUUCCUCAACACUUGCAGCUGCAGAAAGUGGGUCCAACCCCGCUGCCGGCCGAGCCGUGCACGAGAGCUGCCCAGCUGAGCUCCUUGAACUGCUGCGAGCAGAGAUGGCUCAAACAGUUGGCAGCGUUUGCCAUUCAGCCACCAGACCGAAGGGAACACGUUCAUACAGCUCCAGUUCGUGCAGCAUACAGUCCUAUUGUUCUUGGUUGACUUCUGUAGAGCUUCCUGUGCUUGGAGUCAGCCUUGUAGAUUCACUGAGCCCACGCCUACACCAACCAGAGCAAGUUCGACAGGGAGAUGGGCACGGCUCUGCUCCCAGCUCUGGCCUCCAGGCUCAAGACUCUCUUUCUUCUCCAGGAAAAAAUAGGGUGUCUGCUGGAGAAAAUAUUGGACUUAAAAGCUGCUGUGCUACUAUGAUGCUCCAUGAGUGA
rnacentral:lncRNA from 1 species